CCAAGGAGUCAACUUCUAAACAGGAUAUUUUUGGAGAAAAGACAUUUGAGGGCAUAAAAAUGCAGCACUAUUUACAGUAGCCAAGACAUGGAAGCAACCUACGUGUCCAUCAACAGAUGAAUGGAUAAAGAAGAUGUGGUACACACACACACACUGGAAUACUACUCAGCCAUAAAAAAAAUGAAAUAAUGCCAUUUGCAGCAACAUGGAUGGACCUAGAGAUGAUCAUACUAAAUGUUCUGAGGACUCAAGCCCAGAAGACAGCUUCUCAGAUCACUCUGAGGGACCGCUCCAAAGAGAUGUAAGGGCAAAUCAAAUUGAGAACAAGAGCCCUAACUCUCCCUGUUGAAAAUAAGGAAAGAGAUUUAUCCCUUCUCCUUUUGGUAGACCAUUUUCUUUAGAGAACGUGUGGUGGG